CAUGUCCUUUUGAUUUUUGAUUUAAGGUUUAAUCUGCCCAUUGAGGAUUUUAACGGCCGCGGUAUUUUGACCGUGCAAAGGUAGCGUGAUAAUUAGUUUUUUAAUUGAAAGCUGGUAUGAAUGAUUGAACGAGAAAAAUUCUGUCUCAAGUUAAAUUAAUUAGAAGUUUAUUUUUAAGUAAAAAAGCUUAAAUUUUAUUUAAAGACGAGAAGACCCUAUAGAGUUUUACAUUAUUAAUUUUUAUUUUUAUUGGAAUUUUUAAAAAUAGAAUGUAACUAAUGUUUGGUUGGGGUGACUUAAAGAUUUAAUAAACUCUUUAUUUUAAUACAAUGAUGUUUGGAUUUAUUGAUCUACUUGAGUAAUUUAAAGAUAAAAUUACCUUAGGGAUAACAGCGUAAUCUUUUUAAAAGUUCUUAUUAAAAUAAAGGGUUGCGACCUCGAUGUUGGAUUAAAAUUAACUUUAGGUGCAGUAGCUUUAAAGUUAGGUCUGUUCGACCUUUAAAAUUUUACAUGAUCUGAGU
rnacentral:rRNA from 1 species